CGUAUUGUAGCUUAAUUUAAAGCUUUAGGCUUUUAACCUAAGAAUGGGCCAAAAUUAAAUACAGCCCUAGUGCGG
rnacentral:tRNA from 1 species